AACGCACGAGACCUGCGGACCUGCGGAGGGAUCAUUAAUGAGAAGCUGCCCCUCGUGGGUAGACCUCCCACCCUCUGUGAACUUACCUUUGCUGCUUUGGCAGGCCCGUCCUCUGGACCGCCGGCUUCGGCUGGCCCGUGCCUGCCAGAGGAUUCCAAACCCUGUCUGUCAGUGUUGUCUGAGUCUAUAUGAAAUCGUUAAAACUUUUAACAAUGGAUCUCUAGAUCGGAAGAGCACACG
rnacentral:misc_RNA from 1 species